rnacentral:lncRNA from 1 species
UUAUUUUUUCACCAUUUUUGCACCACCUUGAGAGCUUGUUGGUAGAUUUUGAAGGGGAUUUCGACGGGAAGUGGUUGGAGGUAAGUCUCGUGGCCUAGAUACAUUUUUUAAUCGAAGAAUUAUCCAUUAAUUCUCUGAAUUUGGGCAUAAAAUUGAACAAAUUAGGGCUUGGUUUUUACUAUGUGAAUUGGGGAUUUGAUGGCCCAUUUGAACUCCAAUUUUGAUGAACUUUAUAUGUACAGACGCGUCAGGCAAUGAUUCCAAUGAUGUGAUUUUCGUAAUUUUUCGAGAAGUCGACCCGGGGCUCGGGUUUUUUAAACUGUGUUUUUGGGUUUUUUUCGAGUUCUUUCUAUUGAGUUAAGUCCGAUUAGCCUAUUAUAUAAUAUUCCUUGUGGUUUUGGUCAGAUUUUGUACUCGAGGAGGUCGAUUUACGAGGAACGCGCAAGGCGAGCUAGGAUUUUGGCCGAUUUGAGGUGAGUAAUGGUUAUGAAUGAUAUACUGAGGGUUUGAGACCCCGUAUUUGCACUAUGCGGUGCUAUGUUGAGAUGAGACACGCAUAUAAGCGUGGUGAUGUAUCUUCUGGAGACUCGGACUACGUCCAUCCCGAUUGGCGACUUACUAUCUGUGCUAUGUUGAGAUAAAACACGUGUCAUAUAAUGAGCGUGGUGAUGUUUCUAUUGGGGACUCGAACUUGGUCCAUCCCGAUUGAUGAUUUACUGUACCUUUUGACUGAGACUGAGCCUGUACUCGUAUAUUCUGGGCUAGUUACCAUAUUUUGGGCCUUGUGUCGAUCUAUAGAACUCCUAGGGAGCAUGUUGAGCUAAUUGACCUCACUUUACCUAUUGAACACAUACCAUCUGUCUCGACUUUGACUGUAAAUCAUGAAAUAAACCGGAUGUAGUAGUUUGCACCCUAAAUGAGCAAUACCUAGGGUUGAACACCCAGUCUUAGCUGAGUGGGCCCGAGAGGCCAAGUCUAUAAUGACUGAGAGGGGUCAAGGAUCCCGUAGUGAGAGUAUUUGAUAUAUACCGGAUCAGGGUGCACGCCGUAGCAGUAUAUAUAUAUACAUACAUGUAUUGGAUCGGACUGCAUGCCGCAGUAGUAUAUUAUAUGGAUCGGACUGCACGCCGUAGUAAUAUAUUAUAUGGAUCGGACUGCACGCCGCAGUAUUAUAGCGUUUGGGCUGAAGGAGCCCCUCCAGAGUCUGCAUACACCCCCCAGUGAGCAAAGUCGACUAUAUUAUUGGAUCGGGCUGCGCGCCGCAGCAUUAUCUAUAUUAUAUUGGAUCGGGCGGUGCACCGCAACAUUAUAUAUAUUAUAUCGGAUCAGGUUGUGCGCAGCAAUAUUAUAUAUAUGGUAUUGGGUCGGGCUGCGUGCCGCAGCAAUGUCAGUAACUAGUCGGACAUAAAGAGAAGUAUUUAUCAUAUUCUCUCUCCUGUUUAGCAUUAUUCACUAUCGUUACUGUUGAUAUUAGAAAUGUAUAGUGUUCUUACCAGAUUUCUUACAUUCAGUUGUUAUUUAUUGCUAUUGCUCACUUAGUUGGAAGUACUCACUCUACUCCCUGCACCUUGUGUGCAGAUACAGGGAUCCCGGAAGCGUAGCUACGAUUAUCUGUUGUUCUUAGUUCAGUACCGGAGUUAUCAAGGUAGCUGCUGGCGCCCGCAGGACCUGAUCUCUCCUCUUAUCUAUCUUUUGUUUAUGCAUCUAGAUUUUUCCUUUGUAUAGGAUAUUGUUUGGUUGUUUCUAGAGGCUCGGAUUUGUGACACCGGAUCCUUUGGGCUGCUAUUAUUCUUGGUUACUGGAUUUCGCAGUGUUUUAUUAAUGUUAAACUGAAAAUCUUAUCUCAUUAAUUGGCAUUUGAGUUAAUGAUUUGGCUGGAAAUAUUUAAAUGGUCAUGCUUGCCUAACAAGGUGUUGGGCGCCAUCACGACCGGAGUUUGGGUCGUGAUAAGUUGGUAUCAGAGCCUAGGUUACCAGGCCUCGUGAGUCAUGAGCCGGUUUAGUAGAGUUUCGCGGAUCGGUACGGAGACGUCUGUACUUAUCCUCGAGAGGCCGCAGAAUCUUUAGGAAAAACUUCAUAUUCUUGAAAUUCUUGUCGUGCGACUCGUGAGUCAUGAGACGGUUUAGUAGAAUCUCGCGGAUCGGUACGGAGACGUCUGUACUUAUCCUCGAGAGGCUGCAGAACCUUUAAGAAAAACUUCAUAUUCAUGAAAUUCUUGCUGUGCGACUCUGUUGAUCCGAGAACUAAUCUUCUAUAUUCUAUUCUCUCGCAGAUGGCGAGGACGCGUUCUACCGGGCGUGGCAGACGACCACCAUUGCUACCCACUAGAGGCCGAGGACGCGGCCGUGGUCGUGGCCGAGGCAGAGCAGCAGGGGCAGCACCAGUGGACCCACCAGCUGCCCCCAUUCAGGAUCAGCCUUCAGCUGUAGAGGUUCCAGUAGCACCUGCACAGGCACCAGUAGUGCCUAUUGUUCCGGGUCUUCGGGAGGCCCUGGCUCAGAUCUUAUCGGUUUGCACUGGCCUGGCUCAGGCAGUCUCGGCUACUACCGCAACUACAUCUCAGACCGGGGGUGGUCAUCAGUGUUGGAAACACGUUCUCAAGGCUUUAUACUAAAACGUGUGUUCUUAUGUGUAGGUUU